GUCAUUUUCUAUAUAAACGAGUUGAGUUCUAAAGGACCAAAUUUUGGCAAAUUCUCUAAACUUUCUCUCUUCUCUUUUAUACUCAUUUUGAAGGUUUUGGAUAGUGCGCAUUUCAAUACCAUGUCUACUAGACGAGGAUCAGGAGUUUACAAGAGGAGGCGGACCAAUGGUUCCUCUUCCUCUCGACCCUUAGGCGUUGCACCGACUAGUUCAGGUCCAGUUAGACCACCGCAGCGCCAUAGAUUCCUACUUUUCCAAGGGUAGCCCACCUUCGAGCAGAGAUACCAGUCGAUGAGGCACAAAGAUUUAGGAAAGGGGCGUAGCAUAGACUGGCCAGCACUAGAGACGGUCGAACUUGCAGCUGCAGUCCGCCGAUACCUUUAGACGCCCCCCUUUCAGCGUUUUUUUGAGAUAGUUGAGCCAACAUAUAGAGAGUUGAUGGUGGAGUUUGCUAGCACUUUCUUUCUGCAGAGCCAGUUGCGGGACUUUCAGCAACCGGAUGUGAUUAGUUUCAGACUAGCAGAGCAGACUUUCACGAUGAAUGUAUAACAGUUUGGGGUACACUUGGGUUUGUGGACUGACGAGGAUGUAGCUGGGGAGGUAUAUAGUCGCUGGAUACACACGCUUGGUGUAUCAUAUCCGCAGAUGUGGGCUGAGAUUUCUGAUGAAGCUGAGGGGUACAGUGCCAGCCAGUCCAAGGCGUCUAAAUUGCCUAACGAACUGUGGUACUUGCAUGCAUUGCUGACUAGAACCAUCACUAGCAGGGGAGACAGUUGUGGUGUUGUGACCCAGCCGAACCUGUUUAUACUCUACAACAUGCACCAGCACCAGUUAGUCAACAUGGGAUACUUGUUGGCCAGACAGAUCAGUGCCUUCUGCAACAACUCAAAGAAGGUAUUUUUCUAUUUUGGGACGUACAUUACUCGGCUGGCUAGGAGCUUAGGGGUUUUAGAGGAGGCAAUACCACAUGUGAUAGAGCUGGGGGUGAUGGAGACUUUGGCACUUCCCCAGUUAGUUAGUAUGGGGAUGGUGACUCGUAGGCAGGUCCGCUAGAACCAGAGUAUAGACUGAGGAGUGCUCUCUUGGCAGCACGCAGAGAGGAGCGACCUGUCCCACGAGCCCCUGGUACACAAGAUGUUCCACCCCCUUCUUCUGAUAUUCCAGAGUCUUCCUCUAGACCGUCUACUUCUUCAACUGUUCUAGGAGUCUCCCCAAUUGAGUUCAUAGAGUUGCAGCCUAGAAUGCAAAGGUUGGCAGAGGAGCAACAGCAGCACUUCAAUCGACAAGAGGCUUUUCUGCAGGACCUUUUACAGCGUCAGGUUGAGUUUCAGAGCCAGAUGAUGGCUCAGUUUGAGAGAUUAUGCCCCUGCCAAUCCGCGGAGCCGGGUUCCAGUACAGAGCAAUUUUGACAUCCCUCUAGCGGAUGAUCCAGCUGACCCUUCUUUUCCGACUGAGCAGCCUGACGAGCCUCCUACCGAUGCUGUUCCUACUAACCCACCAGCUCCUGCAGGUGACACUACUUCCGACCCUCGGAAAGCGUACCACUCC